rnacentral:lncRNA from 1 species
GUUAGAACAUUUGUUGGGGGACUGCUGCAAAUACUCGAACUAGAAGAAGAUGAUGAACGACAUGAUGAACAUAUUGCACAAAUUCCAAAGCGUGUGUAUCACACUAAAAUUUAGGUUCGAUUCGCCCCCACCAUAAACUGGAUGCAAAAGGGUUAACCUGCGAAUCCCCUUCAGGAUACUUUGGAAACCUUGACAUGGAUUGCAUACACAUAUCAAGCAUAUC